rnacentral:rRNA from 1 species
UACAGAGGUCCCAAGCGUUGUUCGGAUUUACUGGGCGUAAAGGGUGCGCAGGCGGUUGGGUGUGUCAGAUGUGAAAUCCCGAGGCUCAACCUCGGAACUGCGUCUGAAACUACUCGACUAGAGUACUGGAGAGGGUAACGGAAUUCACGGUGUAGCAGUGAAAUGCGUAGAUAUCGUGAGGAACACCAGAGGCGAAGGCGGUUACCUGGACAGUUACUGACGCUCAGGCACGAAAGCAUGGGGAGCAAAAGGG